UUAGGUCCAGGCUCCAAAAUUACCUUAGCGCACCUCUGGCUGGAACUUUCUCAAGAUCUCGGAACGAGAUCUCAUUUCAGGCCAAGCUCUCACGAGAUUUGCGAGAAUUGUUCUGGGUUAUUUAAAGCUGGACUGGCUGAUGAUUACGGUCCAGUUACUAAGGAGGGCCUAUGCUGAUCUUCAAAAAUAACCAUGGGACAUGUCACGGACAUUGCCUAGAAUGUAGUUAUUCUCUGGAGCCUGCUGUCAUCUGAUGUUCCAAAGCUGUUUACUCCAGAGCUUAUGAAAGCUUGAUUCCUCAGUCACAAACACAAGCUGCAUGGAUCACCACUGGGACAAAUUUCUAAACAACGGAACAUAAAAGAUACUGGAUAGAAUACAACGUUAAAGGAAGAAAACUGAAGCUGAGACAAAGGCCAGCUCAGCGGAGGAGAGCUUUGAAUCCAGGUUCCACAAUGAAUUGCGCUCCACUCUCUAUUUAAAAGAACAAAGGCACAGGUUUCUUAAGCAAUUUUCAUGGAAAUCCAACAUGGAUUAAAAUUCAGAGAACUGAAAAAACAUAGCUUGUUCAUUUCUUCAUCAUUAUGUGAAUGUCCAGACUUUCUGUCUCUAAAAAUACCCGAGAAAACUGCCAAAGUUUGUCAGAAGGCUGGAUGAAAUCUGGAACCUACCUGUGAAAAUGGCACAUUUCUAUUCCCAGUGGAGGAAGAGCCAUGGAGACUCUGCAUGUUUGGGUGGGCUCUUCACACAAACAGAGCCAGUGCACACACCCAGCAGAUGGAAGAGCAGGGGCCUUCACAGUAUCGAGACCACUUGUCUGUGUGCAUGUCCAUAUGUGUAUAAAAUCAGACGUAUUCUGAUUUUACCCAAAUUGGAGGGGUUCAGAGAGAGUCCAAACCCAAAAUUGCACAGUCAAGUUUAAAUUUGACUUUUCUGACACCAUUUUUUUAAAAGGAGCUUUUCAGAGUUCCAAAUAUUGACGAGAGUCUGUUCUUUGUCUUUCUUUCCUUCUUUUUUGAAGAGAUUGUGG